CAGCCGCCGCGGUAAUACGAAGGGUGCAAGCGUUAAUCGGAAUUACUGGGCGUAAAGCGCACGUAGGCGGCUUGGUAAGUUAGAGGUGAAAGCCUGGAGCUCAACUCCAGAAUCGCCUUUAAGACUGCCGAGCUAGCAGGUGAGAGAGGUAAGUGGAAUUCCGAGUGUAGAGGUGAAAUUCGUAGAUAUUCGGAAGAACACCAGUGGCGAAGGCGGCUUACUGGCUCAUACUGGACGCUGAGGUGCGAAAGCGUGGGGAGCAAACAGGAUUAGAUACCCGUGUAGUCCCUGUCUCUUAUAC
rnacentral:rRNA from 1 species